AAAAGAAAGGGGGAAAACACACAGAGAUACAGUCAGGGAGGCCACAUGAAGAUGGAGGCAGAGACAGGAGUGAUGAGCCUGCAAGCCAAGGAAUGCCAAGGGCUGCCAGCAGCCAUGAGAAGCUGAGAGACACAGAGAACGAGUCCUCUGCCAGAGCCUCCAGAAGGAGCUAACCCUGUCAAUACCUUGAUUUCGGACUUCUGGACUCCAGAACUAUAACCCUCCUUCCUCCACCUCACAAAAACUCACAAGCUGCAACCCUUCUGAUGUCCACUCCCACACAAACCAGCUUCAGGCCUUUUUCAAGGUAAAGUGCCAUAUUUAUUGUAGCAUUUAUGAACUUCCUAAUCGCCUAACAUGUGUAAAACUGCACUAGUGUUUUUAUUAGGCUCCUACAUAUUU
rnacentral:lncRNA from 1 species